GGACAGAUGGCCGAGCUGGUUAUGGCGCCAGGUUAAGGUAAUCCUUAAUCAACGGAUUCCUCGGAGUCAAUUUCCUGGUCACGAAAGUGGCGUGGGUUCGAGUCCCACUCUGUUCA